AUCAGGCAGUAGAUGAGGUUAAGGGUUCCUGUGGUGGUUUAUUUGGGACACUGAUUACUCACAGUAAAAUGUCUACAAAUCUUUGAAUGUAGAUAGAACAUGGUGAGACUGGGCAUGAUUCAGAAAAGUUGGAAGAUCUAGAGAGGGAUCUUGCAAUCUGAAGUUUCUUGUUUAGUCACUGGAGGAUCUGAACGUCUAUGACACUCUUUCGAGCUGACACAGUGAAGAACAUAGAAGGAGAACUCACCCAGUCUGCCAGGGUCACAGAAUGAUCAUACUCAAGAUCUUCCUGGGGAGUCAAUGGCAAAUUUCACUGGG
rnacentral:lncRNA from 1 species